AGAGCGAACGCUGGCGGCAGGCCUAACACAUGCAAGUCGAGCGCCCCGCAAGGGGAGCGGCAGACGGGAGAGUAACACGUGGGAACGUACCCUUUGGUUCGGAACAACCCAGGGAAACUUGGGCUAAUACCGGAUAAGCCCUUACGGGGAAAGAUUUAUCGCCGAAAGAUCGGCCCGCGUCUGAUUAGCUAGUUGGUGAGGUAAUGGCUCACCAAGGCGACGAUCAGUAGCUGGUCUGAGAGGAUGAUCAGCCACAUUGGGACUGAGACACGGCCCAAACUCCUACGGGAGGCAGCAGUGGGGAAUAUUGGACAAUGGCGCAAGCCUGAUCCAGCCAUGCCGCGUGAGUGAUGAAGGCCUAGGGUUGUAAAGCUCUUUUGUGCGGGAAGAUAAUGACGGUACCGCAAGAAUAAGCCCCGGCUAACGUUCGUGCCAGCAGCCGC
rnacentral:rRNA from 1 species